GGCUUUUUAAAUUUGGGGGUAAAACCCGGGGUUUAACCCCGGUUAGCAUCUGAAACUGUGUAGCUUGAGUGCAGGAGAGGGGAGCGGAAUUUCACGUGUAGCGGUGAAAAGUGUAGAGAUGUGGAGGAACACCAGUGGGGAAGGGGGCUUUCUGGGCUGUAACUGACGCUGAGGGGCGAAAGCGUGGGGAGCAAACAGGAUUAGAUACCCCGGUAGUCCACGCCCUAAAAGAUGAGUGCUAGGUGUUAGGGGUUUCAAUACCCUCAGUGCCGCAGCUAACGCAAUAAGCAUCCGCUGG
rnacentral:rRNA from 1 species